CAGCAGGUGGCGCUGUGGUCACGGACAAAACAGUCUAUCUGGAAUCAAGGCUGUGGGGGACAACCACUGCAGCAGGUGUUAGUUACUCUCUAUGGGUUAGAUAUCUGAACAUAAGUGAAAAACAGCGCUCUCUGCCGGGUGAAGCUGAUACAUGGGGGCUAGAAGCUGUUACUAUGGCAACUAGGUAACAAAGUGGAAGAAGGAACCGAAGGAACCCUGAGAGUCACCUGCAUACAAAUUGAGUUAAGGCUUCUAUUUUUUUUAUCUGAUUGUCAGGGAAAGUCGGUGGUGAGAUUUGUUUUUGUAGCUUUAGUCUAUUCGAGUUCUAGGUGGCAUGUCAGUAAACGGUGCACCUGAAGAGGUGUAACUGGUUGUGAUUAAACAAACUGCAGCUGGUUAACGUUAGCAGUUGUUAACAUAGCACCCUCUACGAACUGCUGUAAAUCACGUUCUGUUAACGUUACUCACACAUCAUACAUUCGCUUGUUUAGGAGGCUUGGAAGUAAAUAUAGUCUCAGAUUAUGGAGAUCCCAGGGGCCCAUAACCCAGUUCUGCAGCAGGUGAACCAGUUGUGGUCCAUGUUGGACGACAUGUCUCUGGACAGUCCAGAGAGUUAUCGGACCUUUAUUGAGAAACAGCUACGGGACGGCGCGGAUUUCUACUCGCCUCCUCAACCUGACUCCUGCAUUCAAGUGGCGAUACUAGGCCCAAAGCGGGGUGUCCUGUACAUCAACGUGUGCAGCUGGAAGAGGGUUCCUGCUCCCAGCUCCACUGAGCAUCCUGUGCCGGUGUGUGGAGGAAGACUAGACACGCACACUGAGGGGAAAGAGCAGUACAGCGUGCUGGAUGUGGCUUUCAGCCCUGAUGUGGUGGUGCGAGCGCAUGGGGACCCUAGGGAAAUGGAACAGCUCCACCUGCUGGCCGUGAGCUUCGCCCAGCAGCAGCACGGCCUGAGUCUGGCCCAAGGUUACACCACUCUCACCACCGCCUGCAAGGGCAGCACCCAGGGCGUCAAGGACCGUCUGGUGUCACCGCGGCAACCACAACAACCGGUCCCGCCACCCGCACAGCCCAGCCCAGCCCCUUCUCUCCUGCAGCAGAUCGCGUCCCUGCGUGGCGAUGAGGGGAUGGCUUUGGAGGGGACAGAUGACCCCCCCGCAGGGAGGGUGACCCUUGACCUGGGUGGGGGCGGGCAGCCCGCCAAGCCAGGGCUCAUCCAGGUGAUCUCCAGCUCAGAGAGCCCCCUCCUGCCACGCCCAGUCCACCGGCUCACACUGCACUCGGGCACGGGUGCCACAGGCGAUCAGGGCCGCCCCAGCAGUCUGGAGCUCACCAUAGAACUCCCCGGGGUUCGCUCUGCGAGAGAAUGCCAGCUCAGCAUCUCACAGGAUGAUGUUCUACUUGAAGUAGAGGACAUGUACCAUCUCCAUCUCAACCUCCCGAAGACAGUGAACGAGGAGACUGCCACAGGCGCCUUCAACGUGCGGACACACACACUAACUCUCUCUGUGUCUGUGCUGUAACACACACACACACACACACACACACUGACACUGACUCUUCAACUUUGUGCUAUAAUGCAUAAACAUUUAUUCUGACCCUCACAUGUAUUCUGUAACACACACACACACACACACACACACUCACUGUGUGAUCCAAUACACACACAGACAGACUCACCAUGUGUGGUUACAUUGUGUUCCUUUGGACUCUCUGAUGUGGCCCACACACACAUACAUAAUUGCACAGCCCCAGAUUCACUUGGUGUGUGCAUGCACACAAACACUCACACUCUCUCACGUUCUCUCUCUCUCUCUCUCUCUCACACACACACACACACACACACACACACACCUUUUGUUGUCUGGUUGGUUACCAUGGUUCCAGUGCUGCCAUCCACUCACUUACCCACAAAACCGAGAGACAAACAACCAAAAUCAAAAGCAAGAACACACAGCAGCCUUCCAGAGGUGAAGCCCAUAGUCUUCAUAUAUUAACAUACAGGUCCCACGUACAGAUGACACAAUGGGGGCAGGCUAUGUGUACAGACACACAAAGACAGACACAAAGACAGACACAAACACACACACACACACACACACACACACUGGAGGGCUUAAUAUAAGCAGUACUGUUUACAGGUGCCUGAUGUAAGCACCACCUCAGUGUGCAUGUGGGGUGUUGGUGUGUGUGUGUGUGUGUGUGUGUGUGUGUGUGUGUGUGUGUGUG